UACGGAGGGGGCUAGCGUUAAUCGGAAUUACUGGGCGUAAAGCGUGCGCAGGCGGCUUUGCAAGACAGAUGUGAAAUCCCCGGGCUUAACCUGGGAACUGCAUUUGUGACUGCAUGGCUGGAGUGCGGCAGAGGGGGAUGGAAUUCCGCGUGUAGCAGUGAAAUGCGUAGAGAUGUGGAGGAAUACCGAUGGCGAAGGCAGCCCCCUGGGAUAACACUGACGCUCAUGCACGAAAGCGUGGGGAGCAAACAGG
rnacentral:rRNA from 1 species